AGUGGGCAUGGUGGAAGGAAUGGAAACUAUGUAUGGGCUCCUUCUCCCAAAGCCCAGUCUAGUUACUGCCACUUCUUAAUGUCUACCAGCAGCAAGACAGAGCCUGUGGGGAGCACCAUUCUUUGAAGCAACCAGCAACUUGAGGGCUGAUGAAUUACAUUGGAACUCAUCUCCUUAAGGAUAAACAAUGUCUCCUUACCAGAAUCUAAGAGACGAAUUAGCCAAGAGAAGAUGAGAGAGAUAUUCCAGAUGGUAGUACCAAUAUGAGAGGAUGCCUAAAGGUCCUAAGAGUGGAACUGAAUUGGACUGAAUUCUACCUGCAGUCUGGCAAUGAGAAGAUGAGGGAAUCUGUGAAGUUUUUGGUGUUGUCUUCGAGGUUCCCAGCCUUCCAUUUAUGUUCUUCUUUCCUCGUCUCAAUGCCAUGUGGUUGACAGGGUCUUGGUGCUCCAGCCGGCUGUCAGACCUGUGCCUCUGAGAUGGGAGAGCCGAGUUCAAGACAUUGGUUCACUAGAGACCUCCCGGCUCCAUGUAAUAUCAAACAGCAAAGGUUUUUCCAUCUCAACGCUAAGACUCAGCUCCACUCAAUGACCAGCAAGCUAUAGUGCUGGACACCCUAUGCCAAAAAACUAGCAAGACAGGAACACAACCCCACCCAUUAGCUGAGAGGCUGCCUAAAAUCAUAAUAAGGUCACAGACACCCCAAAACACACCACUGGACAUGGUCCUGCCCACCACAAAGACAAGAUCCAGCCUCAUCCACCAGAACACAGGCACCAGUCCCCUCCACCAGGAAGCCUACAAAACUCACUGAAUCAACCUCACCGACUGGGGGCAGACACCAAAAACAACGGGAACUAUGAACCUGCAGCCUGAAAAAAGGAGACCCCAAACACAGUAAGUUAAACAAAAUGAGAAGACAGAGAAACACACAGCAGAUGAAGGAGCAAGGUAAAAAACCACCAAACCAAACAAAUGAAGAAGAAAUAGGCAGUCUACCUGAAACAGAAUUCACAGUAAUGAUAGUAAAGAUGAUCCAAAAUCUUGGAAAUAAAAUGGAGAAAAUACAAGAAACAUUUAACAAGGACCUAGAAGAACUAAAGAGCAAACAAAUAAUGAUGAACAACACAAUAAAUGAAAUUAAAAAUUCUCUAGAAGGAAUCAAUAGCAGAAUACCUGAGGCACAAGAACGGAUAAGUGACCUGGAAGAUAAAAUAGUAGAAAUAACUACUGCAGAACAGAAUAAAGAAACAAGAAUGAAAAGAAUUGAGAACAGUCUUAGAGACAUCUGGGACAACAUUAAAUACACCAACAUUCAAAUUAUAGGAGUCCCAGAAGAAGAAGAGAAAAAGAAAGGGACUGAGAAAAUAUUUGAAGAGAUUAUAGUUGAAAACUUCCCUAAUAUGGGAAAGGAAAUAGUCAAUCAACUCCAGGAAGCGCAGAGAGUCCCAUACAGGAUAAAUCUAACACGAAACACGCCAAGACACAUAUUAAUGAAACUAUCAAAAAUUAAAUACAAAGAAAAAAUAUUAAAAGCAGCAAGGGAAAAACAACAAAUAACAUACAAGGGACUCCCCAUAAGGUUAACAGCUGAUCUUUCAGCAGGCACUCUGCAAGCCAGAAGGGAGUGGGAGGACAUAUUUAAACUGAUGAAAGGGAAAAACCUACAACAAAGAUUGCUCUACCCAGAAAGGAUCUCAUUCAGAUUUGACAGACAAAUUAAAAUCUUUACAGACGAGCAAAAGUUAAGAGAAUUCAGCACCACCAAACCAGCUUAACAGAAAUGCUAAAGGAACUUCUCUAGGCAGGAAACACAAGAGAAGGAAAAGACCUACAAUAACAAACCCAAAACAAUUAAGAAAAUGGUAAUAAGAAUAUACAUAUUGAUAACUACCUUAAAUGUCAAUGGAUUAAAUGCUCCAACCAAAAGACAUAGACUGGCUGAAUGGACACAAAAACAUGACCCAUACAGAUGUUGUCUAAAGAGACAACUUCAGACCUAGGGACACAUACAGACUGAAAGUGAGAGGAUGGAAAAAGAUAUUCCAUGCAAAUGGAAAUCAAAAGAGAGCUGGAGUAGCAAUUCUCAUAUCAGACAAAAUAGCCUUUAAAAUAAAGACUAUUGGGCUUCCCUGGUGGCGCAGUGGUUGAGAAUCUGCCUGCCAAUGCAGGGGACACGGGUUCGAGCCCUGGUCUGGGAAGAUCCCACAUGCCGCGGAGCAACUAAGCCCGUGUGCCACAACUACUGAGCCUGCGCGUCAGGAGCCUGUGCUCCACAACAAGAGAGACCGCGAUAGUGAGAGGCCCGUGCACCGCGAUGCAGAGUGGCCCCCACUUGCCGCAACUAGAGGAAGCCCUCGCACAGAAACGAAGACCCAACACAGCCAAUAAAAAAUAAAUAAAUAAAAUUUAAAAAAAAUAAAUAAAAAUAAAAUAAAAUAAAAUAAAGACUAUUAUAAGAGACAAAGAAGGAUACUACAUAAUGAUCAACGGAUCAAUCCAAAAAGAAGAUGUAACAAUUGUAAGUAUUUAUGCAUCCAACAUAGCAGCACCUCAAUACAUAAGGCAAAUGCUAACACCAUAAAAGGGGAAAUCGACAGUAACACAAUAAUAGUAGGAGACUUUAACACCCCACUUUCACCAAUGGACAGAUCAUCCAAAAUGAAAAUAAAUAAGGAAACACAAGCUUUAAAUGAUACAUUAAACAAGAUGGACUUCAUUGAUAUUUAUAGGACAUUCCAACCAAAAACAACAGAUACAUUAUCUUCUCAAGUGCUCAUGGAACAUUCUCCAGGAUAGAUCAUAUCUUGGGUCACAAAUCAAGCCACAGUAAAUUUAAGAAAAUUGAAAUCAUAUCAAGUAUCUUUUCCCAUGACAACGCUAUGAGACUAGAUAUCAAUUACAGGAAAAAAUCUGUAAAAAAUACAAACACAUGGAGGCUAAACAAUACACUACUAAAUAACCAAGAGAUCAUUGAAGAAAUCAAAGAGGAAAUCAAAAAAUACCUAGAAACAAGUGACAAUGAAAAUGCGAAGACCCAAAACCUAUAGGACGUAGCAAAAGCAGUUCUAAGAGGGAAGUUUAUAGCAAUACAAGCCUACCUCAAGAAACAAGAAACAUCUCAAAUAAACAACCUAACCUUACACCUAAAGCAAUUAGAGAAAGAACAAUAAAAAACCCCAAAGUUAGCAGAAGAAAAGAAAUCAUAAAUAUCAGACCAGAAAUAACUGAGAAAGAAAUGAAGAAAACAAUAGCAAAAAUCAAUAAAAUUAAAAGCUGGUUCUUUGAGAAGAUAAACAAAAUUGAUAAACCAUUAGCCAGACUCAUCAAGGAAAAAAGAGAGAAGACUCAAAUCAAUAGAAUCAUAAAUGAAAAAGGAGAAAUAACAACUGACACUGCAGAAAUACAAAGGAUUAUGAGAGCUUACUACAAGCAACUAUAUGCCAAUAAAACGGACAACCUGGAAGAAAUGGACAACUUCUUAGAAAAGCACAACCUUCCAAGACUGAACUAGGAAGAAGUAGAAAAUAUAAACCAGCCAAUCACAAGCACUGAAAUGGAAACUGUGAUUAAAAAGCUUCCAACAAAUGCCCAGGACCAGACGGCUUCACAGGCGAAUUCUAUCAAACAUUUAGAGAAGAACUAAAACCUAUCCUUCUCAAACUCUUCCAAUAUAUAGCAAAGGGAGAAACACUCCCAAACACAUUCUACGAGGCCACCAUCACCCUGAUACCAAAACCAGACAAAGACGUCACAAGGAAAGAAAUCUACACGACAAUAUCACUGAUGAACAUAGAUGCAAAAAUCCUCAACAAAAUACUAGCAAACAGAAUCCAACAGCACAUUAAAAGGAUCAUACACCAUGAUCAAGUGGGGUUUAUCCCAGGAAUGCAAGGAUUCUUCAGUAUAUGCAAAUCAGUCAAUGUGAUACACCAUAUUAACAAAUUGAAGGAGAAACACCAUAUGAUAAUCUCAAUAGAUGCAGAAAAAGCUUUCAACAAAAUUCAACACCAAUUUAUGAUAAAAAACUCUCCAGAAAGUAGACAUAGAGGGAACCUGCCUCAACAUAAUAAAGGCCAUAUGUAACAAACCCACAGCCAACAUCAUUCUCAAUGGUGAAAAACUGAAACCAUUUCCUCUAAGAUCAGGAACAAGACAAGGUUGUCCACUCUCACGACUAUUAUUCAACAUAGUUUUGGAAGUUUUAGCCACAGCAAUCAGAGAAGAAAAAGAAAUAAAAAGAAUCCAAAUUGGAGAAGAAGAAGUAAAGCUGUCACUGUUUUCAUUUGACAUGAUACUAUACACAGAAAAACCUAAAGAUGCUACCAGAAAACUACUAGAGCUAAUCAAUGAAUUUGGGAAAGUAGCAGCAUACAAAAUUAAUGCACAGAAAUCUCUUGCAUUCCUAUACACUAAUGAUGAAAAAUCUGAAAGAGGAAUUAAGGAAACACUCCCAUUUACCACUGCAACAAAAAGAAUAAAAUACCUCAGAAUAAACCUACCUGUGGAGACAAAAGACCUGUAUGCAGAAAACUAUAAGACACUGAUGAAAGAAAUUAAAGAUGAUACAAAUAGAUGGAGAGAUAUACCAUGUUCUUGGAUUGGAAGAGUUAAAAUUGUGAAAAUGACUAUACUACCCAAAGCAAUCUACAGAUUCAAUGCAAUCCCUAUCAAACUACCAAUGACAUUUUUCACAGAACUAGAGCAAAUAAUUUCACAAUUUGUAUGGAAACACAAAAGACCCCGAAUAGCCAAAGCAAUCUUGAGAAAGAAAAAUGGAGCUGGAGGAAUCAGGCUCCCUGACUUCAGACUAUACUACAAAGCUACAGUAAUCAAGACAGUAUGGUACUGGCACAAAAACAGAAAUAUAGAUCAAUGGAACAGGAUAGAAACCCAGAGAUAAACCCACGCACAUACGGUCACCUUAUUUUUGAUAAAGGAGGCAAGAAUAUACAAUGGAGAAAAGACAGCCUCUUCAAUAAGUGGUGCUGGGAAAACUGGACAGCUACAUGUAACAGAAUGAAAUUAGAACACUCCCUAACACCAUACACAAAAAUAAACUCAAAAUGGAUUAAAGACCUAAAUGUAAGGCCAGACACUAUAAAACUCUUAGAGGAAAACAGACGCAGAACACUCUAUGACAUAAAUCACGGCAAGAUCCUUUUUGACCCACCUCCUAGAGAAAUGGAAAUAAAAACAAAAAUAAACAAACGGGACCUAAUGAAACUUAAAAGCUUUUGCACAGCAAAAGAAACCAUAAACUAGAUGAAAAGACAACCCUCAGAAUGGGAGAAAAUACUUGCAAAUGAAUCAACUGAAAAAGGAUUAAUCUUCAAAAUUUAUAAGCAGCUCAUGCAGCUCAAUAUUAGAAAAACAAACAAUCCAAUCCAAAAUGGGCAGAAGACCUAAAUAGACAUUUCUCCAAAGAAGAUAUACAGAUAGCCAACAAACACACGAAAGGAUGCUCAACAUCACUAAUCAUUAGAGAAAUGUAAAUCAAAACUACAAGGAGGUACCACCUCACACGGGUCAGAAUGGCCCUCAUCAAAAAAUCUACAAACAAUAAAUGCUGGAGAGGGUGUGGAGAAAAGGGAACCCUCUUGCACUGUUGGUGGGAAUGUAAAUUGAUACAGCCACUAUGGAGAACAGUAUGGAGGUCCCUUAAAAAACUAAAAAUAGAACUACCAUACGACCCAGCAGUCCCACUUCUGGGCAUAUACCCCGAGAAAACCAUAAUUCAAAAAGAGUUAUGUACCACAAUGUUCACUGCAGCACUAUUUACAACAGUUAGGACAUGGAAGCAACCUAAGUGUCCAUCAACAGAUGAAUGGAUAAAGAUGUGGCACAUAUAUACAAUGGAAUAUUACUCAGCCAUAAAAAGAAACAAAACUGAGUUAUUUGUAGUGAGGUGGAGGGACCUAGAGUCUGUCAUACAGACUGAAGUAAGUCAGAAAGAGAAAAACAAAUACC